UACGUAGGGCGCAAGCGUUGUCCGGAAUUAUUGGGCGUAAAGAGCUCGUAGGCGGCCUGUCGCGUCUGCUGUGAAAUCCCGGGGCUUAACCCCGGGCGUGCAGUGGAUACGGGCUGGCUGGAGGCAGGCAGGGGAGAACGGAAUUCCCGGUGUAGCGGUGAAAUGCGCAGAUAUCGGGAGGAAUACCGGUGGCGAAGGCGGCAUCCUGGACCAACACUGACGCUGAUCCGCGAAAGCUAGGGGAGCAAACGGG
rnacentral:rRNA from 1 species